GACGAACGCUGGCGGCGUGCUUAACACAUGUAAGUCGAACGGAAAGGCCCUGCUUUUGUGGGGUGCUCGAGUGGCGAACGGGUGAGUAACACGUGAGUAACCUGCCCUUGACUUUGGGAUAACUUCAGGAAACUGGGGCUAAUACCGGAUAGGAGCUCCUGCUGCAUGGUGGGGGUUGGAGAGUUUCGGCGGUUGGGGAUGGACUCGCGGCUUAUCAGCUUGUUGGUGGGGUAGUGGCUUACCAAGGCUUUGACGGGUAGCCGGCCUGAGAGGGUGACCGGCCACAUUGGGACUGAGAUACGGCCCAGACUCCUACGGGAGGCAGCAGUGGGGAAUAUUGCACAAUGGGCGGAAGCCUGAUGCAGCAACGCCGCGUGCGGGAUGACGGCCUUCGGGUUGUAAACCGCUUUCGCCUGUGACGAAGCGUGAGUGACGGUAAUGGGUAAAGAAGCACCGGCUAACUACGUG
rnacentral:rRNA from 1 species